rnacentral:rRNA from 1 species
CCUACGGGUGACAGCAGUGGGGAAUAUUGGGCAAUGGAGGCAACUCUGACCCAGCAACGCCGCGUGAAUGAUGAAGGUCUUCGGGUUGUAAAGUUCUAUGAUGGGGGAUGAACACACUGACGGUACCACAAUAGCAAGCCUCGGCUAACUACGGGCCAGCAGCCGCGAUAAUACGUAGGUGGAAAGCGUUCUCCGGAAUGACUGGGCGUAAAGGGUGGGUAGGGGGUUGAGUAAGUUGGCGGUGAAAUCCCGGGGCUCAACCGCGGCGCUACCGCCAAAACUAUUAGACUAGAGUGCAGGAGGGGCAAGUGGAAUUCCUAGUGUAGCGGUGGAAUGCGUAGAUAUUAGGAGGAACAUCAGUGGCGAAGGCGACUUACUGGACAGUAACUGACACUGAGGCACGAAAGCGUGGGGAGCAAACAGGAUUAGAUACCCCGGUAGUC